AUGAUCCACCUCUGGUGCAUCUUCUUCGGGGAAGUGAAGAGACUCCCUAUCAUCCUCAAACACACCUAUAGUGAGAACAUUGAAUUCUUCACUAGGCGGAACCUUCAUGCGCUUCACCAAAUGCUGAUAUUUCUUUGGUACGAAGCGCAGAGGAGCGACAUCUUCCAUCACUCGGGGUAGUGCACGGCGUUUUGGCCGCUGCUCCCUGCAGUCUUGGGGUUCUUGAGAAGCUAGUACACUGGGCCAUCCAUCACGGCUGCAGGGAAUGUGAGCCUCUCUUUGACGCUGACCCUGGGACAUGGUCCCAUGACCGAGGCACGGGAGGAAGCCUGGAGAGAUAAUUGGGGUAAAUUCAUAUCCUGAUGUAAAAAUCAUAUCAUCAUAAGUUGGCCUCAUAUUUGAAGAUGUGCAACUCACCGAGCUAUCUUGAAGAGUGGCAACAUUUGUUGUAGCCAUCUUCUUUCCUUUCUUUAAACUUUUGAGGAGGUCCGUAUCAAUGGUCCCCUCAUCGAUCAUUUUCUGUAUGAUAUUCUUCACAACGAAGCAAUCUUUGAGUGUAUGGCCCAAAAUGCGAUGGUAGUGACAGAAAUUUGGGUCAUCAAAUUUUGAAGCUUCUUCUGGCCUUUUGGGCUUGGGAAGUUCUAUAAGACUCAACUCCUUUAAACCAGUGAAAAGGUCAUCAAUUUCUUCUACAGGAAAAGAAUACUCCCUGUUUUGUCGCUCGUUGAGAGUUGGCCUCCUACCGACCUGUGCAUCUCGCUGUCCUUGGUACCCUACAGGUGCUCUUCUGGGCUGAAACUGAGGUUUUACCGUCGUUGUCUCCAUGGCUUGUGCAGACUUGGGUUUCAUCGGCAACUUUUCACGCUGACCACCUUUGUCUGUAGGCUUGUUGAACAUCGUUUUUGUUCGAUGGGCGACAAGUUGCAUAUAAUUUUCUAUAUCCGUGGAUUUUGAAGCCAACUCUUCAAACGUGAGGGGCCUCACCCCCUGUAACUGGACAACCACUUCCGAGCAGAGAUUGUUCAUGCACAUCCGCACUGCUUCUGGCUCGGUGAUGGGUUGUGGGCAGUGAAGACUUAGGUUUCUCCAUCUAUUUAUGAAGUCAGCCGCCUUCUCGUUGAACCCUUGUUCAGUUUGGGUCAACUUAGUUAUGCCCACCGUCCUCUGCGUGCUAUAGAAAUGCUCGAGGAAUGAGUUUUGCAUUUGUUCCCACGUUUUUAGAGAGCUUGGAGGUAGCUUGCUGUACCAGGUAAAGGCAGGCCCAGACAAUGUCUGUACAAACUGCCUAAGGAGAAGUGCUCCAUUGUUGGCUGUAUCUUGGCAAGCAGCAAGGAAGUGUGCUAUAUGCUCAUGGGGAGAUCCACUCCCAUUGAACUUACUAAACUGCGGCUGUCUGUAGUUUGUUGGGAAAGGAACUAGGUCCACAUCGGGUGGGUAUGGCUUAACAUACCAUGGCCGCAUCGAGUACUGAGUUUGCAUCAACUGGGACUUUACCCCCUCAGCGAUCAUCCUUUGGAUCGCCUCAAGGUUAAGCCCUGCCCCUCCAUGUUGGCUGCUAGCACUUGCACCACCAUCCCCUUCAUUUCCUUUGUUCUGGUUAUUGCCCAUAUGAAUACGAAGGGCUGCUAUCUCGUCUUCCUUUUGUUGGAGUGCUGCCGUAAGGUUGGCUAAUUGCUCCUCAACCGAACGAGUUUCAUUUGUAACUAGGACUUGCUUUGUAUGCCCUGCACCAUGGUGAAGUUCUAUCUCAUUUUCAGAAGGACAAGGAGUGCUAUUUGAUAGGGGAUUGUAAGACCCUCCAUUGCUUGACCCAAGUUCUUCAUAAUCUGCUGGCUGCGCGUCAUGCGGCGAGGACCUUCUACAACAGUCUUGCAUGCCUUCUUCCUCUUGAAGUGUGUUGAUGCUGAGGAGGUUUCACUACUGUUGUCUGUCACCAUUUUGACGCCAACUGGCAUUGCGUUGAAUACUUCAAAUGAGUUACCCGAUACUUUCUUGCGAGUUGGCCAUGGAGCGAGAGUUCUGGUAGUCUUCUUUUCUAUACUUGCCAUUUCUUUUGCCCCAUUUCCUCCACCGACUUGGCUUGUUGAUGGAGAAUCUCUUCCCUGUAUUCUGCUAUACCCCGAAUCAGCUCGUACUGCCAUCUCUCUUUGUUUCAAGGCAGCCCGCUUUUUGCGUGCAUGAGCAGGCUGCUUCACAUACUCUUGUCGUCGUGGAUCUGCCUUCACAAAUUCUUCAUAUUCUGGCCACUUCGAAAGAGUUUCUACACGACGCAUGAUGGCGCCACCAACAUUAUCAGCAGAGAUAGAGCAUCCUGGAAGUAUUUCCAUCAAAGCUUGGCAAACAUUCUGUGUCAUGACGGCAUGGAAGCUAGCAUGGCUCCCCCGCGGAUCCUUGCAUUGAUCUUCCUUUCUCUGUUUCUGAUGGGAUAUGCCACCUGCUUCCGUUGUUGAUUGGUCAUGUUUGCAUCAGUUGCCACUGGGAGAUCAAGCCAUGCACGAUGAGCCCUCUGCCGUCGACGAUGACGACGUGCCGGAUCGACUGAGCCUUAAAAUGAUGGUCUUGGUGCUGGCACUGAUGAGGACAAAGGAUCUGAUAUUGCAGCAGUUGGAUCCACAUGACCAGCUUGGAAGUCAUCUGAAGUGACAAACACCCCCUGCCACUGGAGCGAGCGUCUAUUGCUUGGCUCACCCACUAGGCAUGGUCCAAUGGGAUUAUAGCCCAUGGUUGGGAUAAAUUCAGGUGCAUCAACACGAAGUUGGUUUCUUGGACGAGUCGAUUCUUCAUGUGAGGAAGAUUUAGUGUCCUCAGUCAUUACACCUUUUCCUUUGUCCGCUGAGCAAGCCCUUUGAGCCGUCCCUACGUUGCUUGGGAUAAGCUUAUGUGAGAUUUCUCCUGACCCUUCGCAUGCGCCCACCCUAAGUUUUGAAGGUGUAAGGGGCACUGCGACUUUGGUCGAUGUAGUUGAAGCAAAUUGUCUUGGCGACGCCACCUUUAGUGAUCCCGUCUGUUUUGCAAGAACGGGCCACUCUUCGGGUGUCAUGCGAACAACCUUUGCUGGUACCUCAUGGCCUAUGACCUUGGUAGGUGACAUCUUUGUGAAACUAGGAGGAACUGAAGUAGAUGCAGAAGCUUCACGUACAUGCUGAUCCUUAGAUGCUCUUGCAGCUGCAUGCAUCCUUCUCUUUGCUGACUUUGUGAGAACAGGAGUAAACCCUUCCUUCAGUGCAGAAGAGACUUCCUUUUCUUCUGGCUUAGUUGAAGAUGCAGCUGUUGUUUCCAAACUCUUGCUAACUGCAGCCACAAGCGGACCAAUUGGCACAUCCAGCCACAGGUCACCAAAGCGGAGAGUGACAAAUUGCUGGACCUGUCCCUCCAUACCUUCAAAUAAAGAAAACCAUAUAUUAGUUUUCUUCAAAUUCUUUUGUCGUAUGUGUACAUAAUGUUUUAUGCUUUAUGUACUAUGGGAAUUCAUAUGUUGCAAAUCCUAUGUUGGAAUUCAAAGAUGAGGGGAGAAAUAUGUCCCACUGGGCGUGCCAGAAUCUGAUGACGGGAAAAUGGCGGGCGUGAGACACGCGUCCACGUCAUUGAUACAGAGUGAAAUUUAAAUGCAUAAAAUAAAAAUAGAAUCAAACAUUGCAGGUACAUUAUUUUCAGAACUCUUACAUUUACAUAAAAAUUCUGUUAAUUACAUCUCCGAAGAGAAAACCCCUGAUUAAGAAUUCCAACAUAUCUAUUACAUAGGAUUGCAUCACAUUCCUAUUACAACAUUCUACAAGAGAAAUCCUCCUCGCGGUCGACGACGAACUCCUUCUUGGUGAGCUUGAAGUUUGGUUCCGUGCAAGUACUCUAUGAUUUCAUGUGUGAUGUUUGGAAUAUAUUUCCCUGGAAUGCAACAAUUUGUCUGAGUUCAACCUCAUUUAUAUGUGGGCUGCAGGCUGAUUUUGGCUAGGCAUAAUUUUAUCCUAUGUUUGGCAUAUAGGACAUGCAUAUAUUUAUCUUUGGGAAUUUUAUAUGACAUCUUUGGUUUUGGUGGCAUGGAUAUAUGUGACAUGCCAAUUUUAAUAAGUUUUGCAUCAUCACACUACUACUAUCAUCACGCGACACUGAUGUGGUGCCCAUGUGUAGCGUAACGGACUGAAGCUUUCUGACACAAUCUUGAUACUUUCUAUGGUGCAUGUGAUAUGUGCCAUAUUUUGUUGACUUUGACUUCAUACGGUAUCAAAACUAAGCACGCGGUGCAAUGAUAUGACACACACGUAUAGGUUGACCCGAAUGGAGUUUGUUUAUGAUAUUUUUUAUUUGUUUAAAGCCUAUGUGGGCUACAUGAAAUAUGUGUUAUCAUGUAUUUUGCAUGAAUUUUGUAUGCAUAUGUGAAUGUGGAGUGAACUUAUUUUUUAUUAAGUUCUGCUUUACCUGUAUUACUACUAACACCGCGUAGCACUAAUAUAAUGCCCGCAUGCAGCGUAACCAAGCAGAGGUUUGUGGAGCACUUAUGGUGUUGCGUGAGUCAUGUGACAUCUAUCAUUUUUGUUUAUGUUUGUACCUUACAUGAUAUUAGCACUAACUCCACGUAGCGUCAUUUCAUUGGCGCUCGUGUGUAGCAUAACCCACGUAAAGUAAGUUUGUGAUAUCCAUUUGUGAUGAUGCUAAUAGUUUAGGCUCUUAUAGCAUUGGAGCAUUUCAUGGCAUAUUUUAUUUGACUUUGGACUAAAUAUGUGGCCAGAAUACUUUGUUUAAUUUUCUCUUACUUGUAUUACUACUAACACCGUGUAGCAUUAUGAUAAUGCCCACGUGUAGCGCAACCAAGUAAGAUUGUUUUUUUAUGAUGCAACAUGUUCUAUCAUUCAUUUUGCAUGAUUUUGGUUUCUAGGUGUGUAUCAUGAACACAUUUUUUGAAUUAAGUCUUGCCCUGUUCGUAUUACUACUAACACCGCGUGGCAUUAAGAUAAUGCCCGUGUGCAGCGUAACCAAGUGAGGGAAUAUAUUUUAUGCUCUUGUUUGUAUUGCAACUAGCGUGACAGAUAAUGCCCGUAGUGCAACCAAACAAGAGAUUUUCAUGAGUUUAGUUUAGUGCGUUCAUAAUUUCAUUCCAACUUAAUCAUAUCCAUUUUUUAUGAUGACCACAUUAAGUCAAUUUUAUGAGGUUUUCGCACCUAUGACACUCUCUUGAUUUGUAUCCAUGUAUAGAGACCAAACCAAGGAACGAGGCGUUCAUCUUGGCUUGUAUCGCUAAAGGAACCGAACCAAGACGGAGAUCAAUAGGAAGAAGCGCACGCAACAUUUAAAAGAACCGUGCUUACAAGAAUCAUGCAUGUUCCUUGACUCGUACCGCGAUGGCCGAGCCGAAGGCGAAAGUUUGGGAUAGAUAUAACAUACUCCCUGGUUUGUACCGCGAUGGCCGAACCAAGGACAAAAAUUUGGGAUGGAUGCAACAUGCUCUUUAGACUGUACCAAAAUGGCCAAACCAUAGACAAAAUUUGGGAUAAAUUAAACCAUGCACCUUAGUCUGUACCGCAAUGGCCAAACUAAGGACACGGAUUUUACGAUAGAAGGAGGGAGAAAGCUCCCUAGCCUGUUCCGCAAUGGCCGGAUUAAGGGCAAGAAGUUUGGGAAGAUGAAACACGCAGCUUGAUUUGUACCGCGAUGGCCAAACCAAGAACAAGAAUUUUAGGAAGAUGAAACAUGCCCCUUAAUUUGUACCGCGAUGGCCGAACCAAGGGCUAGAAAUUUAGGAGAAGAAGGAGAAGAAGGCUCCCUGGCCUGUACCACAAUGGCCAAACCAGGGGCUAGAGGAGAGCCAUUCAAUCUCACCUUUCAAACCUCCUGCGUGCAAAACGCCUGCCUCCUACUCUCCUCCCGUGCUACUGUAUACGUGUGUGAUUUUUAGCAGAUGAGAGGAACGAACUGAGGGCCGACCCCCGAGCAGCCGAGCGGCCAUGUAUUUAUAUGGAGCGGAGGAGCGCAGCGCAGGGUCCAGCCGCAUGCACGCACGCCCUUCCACGUCGUGGAUCGUGAGAUCGUGUAAGAUCGUGCAUGGGAGCGGGGCUGCUCCUUUUUCUUUUUGUUUGUUUAAUUGCUAAUCAACCAGCAACGUUCCAUCAGUACAGGCUUAAUUAGGCCACCUUCUAUCAUUGUGUGGGCUUUUGCUCUAAUUCUUUACUUAGGGCCAAAUACAUGCAUGCAGGGAGAAGCUAGCUAGCGUGGGGCCAUAUGGGCCAUGAUACAUACAGAUGCCAUGCAUGUAUGCUCGCUUAGCCUUGGUUAAUAUGCAAUGAUAUUUGAUGGAGGAACAUACUGCACGAUGCUUCGACAAUAUUGACGUUAUCUUUGACGGUGAAAUUUUAGAUCAUUAUUCGUCCUCCACAGUGCGCGUACAUACGAACCGUGCGUCCCUAUAUUUUUUUUUGUCAGCUGCGGCGCAUAUAAACCAUGUGUCCUCCAUUUUUCCAUAUAUAUCUAUUUUUUCAGCGUCGGUGCGCGUACAUAUAAACCAUGUGUCCUCCAUUUUUCUACAGGAGAAAACUUGAUGGCUGCUUAUUUGUUUCAUCAUAUUUUAUAAUUGUCGGUUUAAUGCGUGCAUAAUCGACAUUUGAAAAUAAAUCAUAUGCCUAUUUCUUUAGUCAUCAAUUCGAGUGGUUGAUUAUAAUUAAUUCCUUUUCAUUGUAAAACGGAUUUUGCCGUUUUGUAUUUAUAUUUUAUGUGGUCUAUGCAUUUUGUUUGCCUUGGUCAAAAUCCAUGUCAACACCCCCACCGGCUCCUGGUGUCGCCGACUCAUAGAAUAAAUCCAAGGCACAUAGUUGAUCUACCGAGGACCAAGGUAUCACAUGAGCACGGCACCGAGAUUUAUUAAUGAGGUUCAUCGAUAUAACACCGUCCCCGGACUUGAGCAAAAUUACUCUAGUUUGCGCUCCCAACUUCCAAAGUAUCGGUUCAAUGUCAUCACACACCGAUCAUUGUCUGCGUGAAAAUGAACAACUCAGAUAUUGAAGACGCCAUAUAUUAGAGUUACUCGAACUCAACAUCUUAACUCUUUCUUGACUGCCAUCUAAAACUUGAACGAAUUUCACCAUCGCCUCGUUGAAAGAUCGUAGAUGUCGCCUAGAGGGGGGGGGGAGGGGGGUGAAUAGGCACUUUAAAAUAAUUACGGUGAGGCUUGAACAAAUGCGGAAUAAACCUAGCGGUUAAUUUGUCAAGCACAAAACCUACAACAACUAGGCUCACCUAUGUGCACCAACAACUUAUGCUAAGCAAGAAAAACUACUUACGUGAUAGCAAGAUAUAUGACAAGAAACAAUAUGGCUAUCACAAAGUAAAGUGCAUAAGUAAAGGGCUCGGGUAAGAGUUAACCGAGGCACGCGGAGACUACGAUGUAUCCCGAAGUUCACACCCUUGCGGAUGCUAAUCUCCGUUUGGAGCGGUGUGGAGGCACAAUGCUCCCCAAGAAGCCACUAGGGCCACCGUAAUCUCCUCACGCCCUUGCACAAUGCAAGAUGCCAUGAUUCCACUAAGGGACCCUUGAGGGCGGUCACCGAACCCGUACAAAUGGCAACCCUUGGGGGUGGUCACCGAACCCGUACACUUUGGCAACCCUUGGGGGCGGUCACCGAUACCCGUCAAAUUGCUCGGGCGAUCUCCACAACCUAAUUGGAGACCCUAACUCUUGCCCGGAGCUUUACACCACAAUGAUUGAGCUCCGAACACCACCAACCGUCUAGGGCGCCCAAGCACCCAAGAGGAACAAGCUCAAGGGUACCAAGCACCCAAGAGUAAUAAGCUUCUCAACUUGUAACUUCCACGUAUCACUGUGGAGAACUCAAACCGAUGCACAAAUGCAAUGGCAAGGGCACACAGAGUACCCAAGUCCUUCUCUCUCAAAUCCCACCAAAGCAACUAAUGCUAGGGAGGAAAGUGAGAGGAAGAACAAGAAGGAGAACACAAAGAACUCCAAGAUCCAGAUCCAAGGGGUUCCCCUCACAUAGAGGAGAAAGUGAUUGGUGGAAGUGUGGAUCUAGAUCUCCUCUCUCUUUUCCCUCAAAAACUAGCAAGAAUCCAUGGAGAGAUUGAGAGUUAGCAAGCUCAAAUAAUGUCAACAAUGGGGGAAAAACGAGCUCAAGAGAUAUGGAACCAUUGGGGAAGAAGACCCCCUUAAAUAGGUCCCCACGAAUCUGCCCGUUAUGUGCAGAAAGACAUAGGAGCGGUACAACCGCUAUGAGCACCGGUACAACCGGUAACAGGCAAUAAGCGGAACAACCGACCCACAACCGCCCAACAAUCGCACCACAACAGAAGCUAGUCCGGUGGUAGAGCGGUACAUGGACGGUACAACCUCCGGACCAAUUCUAAAGCGGUACAACCGCUCCAAACACCGGUUGUACCGGUCAACCGGUACAACCUCUCUAUGGGGCGGUACAACCUCUCUAUGUAAAACAGGCAAUAUCAAAACAGCCACAACUUUCGCAUACGAGCUCCGAAUUCGAUGAAACCAAGUUUGUUGGAAAGCUAGCAACAAGGGAUAACACAAUCUUGAAAGAAAUAUCAAUAAGAAGAAAAUUAGAAAAGGCCCAUAAGAAAAAGGUGAGAACCCUUCCUCGGAUAAGACCGGUAAAACCUCCAACACCGAAAACAUCAUAGAAGACGCAUGCGAACUCCGUUUUCGAUGAACUUAAGCUUGUCAUCAAUAUGACCAUAAGCUCUAAGACUCACAAAGAGAACCAAAUAAGAACUAAGAAACAUGAUGCAAGGAUGCAAUGGUUUGAGAUCUCUACUAACGAUAUGAUCAAGCUACCAACUUGAGAGCCCCCCUUGAUAGUACGACAAACGAUCAUAUAACCUGGUCUUCCAACUACCACCACGAGACCGGUAAAAGAGAAAACCUAUCAAGGGCAAACCUUUGCCUUGCACAUGGUCCACUUGAGCUAGAUGAUGACGAUCUUGACUCCCUCAAGUUGGACCAUCUUUCUUGAUUGCGUUGGCUCGAUGAAGACUAGAUGAUUGCUCCCCCAUACUCCACUAUGGGUGAGCCACUCUUCCGCUCAUCUUCACAAGUCCAUUGUCACCACAAUGGACGACAAGCUUCAAGCACUUGAUCUCUUUGUGAUGCAUCACUUGAACUUGCACACCGCAACCUAACCCCACAAAGAACUCUCACGAAGACCAUGGGUUAGCACACAAAGCGUAAUGGACAAUGCUUACCAUACCAUGGGAUCACUUGAUUCCUCGGUACAUCUUGUGCGCUUUGUGUGUUGAAUCUUUCCAAAUCUCUUCAUUUGGAUGAUGUCUUGAAGGUAGGCAUGAAUGAUCACACAAUCUUCUUCUUCAAGACAUGCUUGCAAUAAGCUCAACACUCACAUGACCAAUCUUUGGAUAAUUCCUUAAUAGCACCUUGGUCAACUCAUAAACUCCUUGAAACCAACACAUGGACUUCAAGAAAAGCCUAUGGACAAAACCUUCAAAUAUAACUCAAGGCAACCAUUAGUCCAUAGAGAUUGUCAUCAAUUACCAAAACCAAACAUGGGGGCAUCGCAUGUUCUUUCACUAGUGUCAUCCUGAGUCAAAUUCACAGUUGUCUCACCCUUUUUGGAUAGUCUUUGACAUGUCCCACCAUUAUAGCACUCUGCCUCCUUCUGCACUUUCCAUCCGCACUUUUCCAUGUGCAUCGAACAUCAUGGAAUAUAUGGCCAUGUACUCUAUCAGCUUUUGACAAUUUCAGACUUUCCGCCACUUUCUCGGAUUCUUCAUGGUCAAGUUUCGUCCAUCAACGGGCACGGAUAGACCCAGUCACCAACUUAAACCUGGUACUCGUCAACACUGCUUCAACACCUUCUUGCACACCUUAAUUGAGCAUAUGUUUGACCACUAGUGCCUUGGUCUGUCGCUGUGUCCUGGGCUUACCGCAUGCCUCGCCGCUAUCACUGGGUCGAGCCUCUGUUGUCCUGGUCGAGUCUCCUUGGUAGCUUGCCCACACUGCCUCAACCCCCACUGCAGAGAACCAUCAAUCAUGUAUCGCGUCUCCAUCAGACCACAGGUACUCUCCAUCGACUUAUGUUGUAGCCCCUCCAUCAGCUCAGAGUAAAGUCUUCCGCUAGACUCCAGCUCCACCUUCAACAUAACUCCAUGGUGGUUGUACGUGCCACCUCGCGCACGUCAACUCCAACCUCUCAUGCGUACGUCAUCUUGAAUCAACCUCGCGCCAUAGUCUUGUCAAAGCCGCACAAGCCCUCAGACAUGCACCACAUGUUUCCACGCUCCAGAAGUCGGUCACCAUCAGUAUCACGCUCAUAUGUCAUCAUCGUUGAAAUCACCGCCGUCUUCCAUCCAACCGACACCCUGUCGAUCCGUGAGAUUGUGUAAUCCGACCCAGUCGACCUUGUCUGACCGCAACCAUGUUGCACCCUGCGUCGUGUCUGCCCUGCAGACAGCGGUGGAGCCAGGGGGGGGCGAGCAGGGGCCUGCCCCCCCUAACGAUCGAGCGAACAUUGUAGGCAGCGGUCUAUUAGCGACAUGAUUCGCAAUGUAGAACGUACUUGCCCCCUCCCCUCCCCAUUACGUGAAUUCUUGAGAAAGGAAAAAAAAGCCACUUACAAGCCCACUGAUUAGGCAUUUUCUAAGUCCAUGCCCACUCAGAUUGGACUUUGCUAAAAAAGGAAGAUUGGACGAUUGGCCGGCCUCCGCUAAAUCUCCUGGCGCUACACAUUAUCUCCGUGAUUAGCGUGUGCAUGGUUAGGGAUGUACCGCUGCCAUCCUAGUAUGCCUUUGCCGCCUCCUUGCCUUGGGUCUUCCCUAAGGAAAGAUCUGAUUCAUACGGCGAUGCAGGCUGCUUCACUCACCCAAUUCUUCAAGCUGCAGUCGACGAACUAGCCAAUGAUAACACAUCACAUUGUCUAUCAAUCUCUCUCUAUUCUCAUGUUGUAUCAUGUUGAACUUCUACGUUAGAAUUUAUUUAUUUUGGUUGUGUGAUUUGUGAUGGGACGCUGCGCCUAGGUUAUAGGCACUUGCAAUCGUUCGAAACCUCGGACCCGUUAAUGAGGAGGGGUUGGAGUUGAUUCUCUAGGUAUAUGGCAAUGUUGAUCAUUUUUCGCUCAUUAAACAAUAAAAUUUCCUAAUACAACCAGCGAUGGUUCGCCAUUCAAACCUAUAUAAAUGCAAACUAAAAGCCAACCAUAUGGUAAUACAUGAUUAAUCUUGUCUGUAUAUCCAAAAUUUUCAUAUGAAAAUGGUUUAUAGCAUGAUACUUCAUGUCAUAUGUUAGAAUAGUUUGAUUAUCAACUUUGUCUUAUUGGCACAUAUCUGAAGCUAUUGACCAAUUAGCUAUCGCUAGACACGCUCCAGCAGCAAACAAAAUUUGUGUGUAUCGGCAAAGUUAGAUGUGAAUGAUAUUUGAAUUUAGAAUUAUUGGGUAGUAUGUGAGGCACAAAAUAUUUUCUGGCUUCAUCGCCAUCUGCCCACCCCCACCCCCACCCCUAUGCCUAAAUCCUAGCUCUGCCUCUGCCUGCAGAUCUCCGUGCAUUGAUUGACACCCUGUGUAUGCAUGAUCUUGUCACAACGCGAUCCAAACUCCUGCUUCGAGCCUUAUACGCAUGACGCCUUUCACCGCGGAUCCAUCUUGAUUGACUUGGCAUCCCGUUACACAAUCAAGCAUACCCGUUGCACCAUCAUAUUAUUUGUCUAGAUAUGCCAUUAUCUGAAGUUUUUGGUUCCAGUCGAAUUAUAAGCCAAUCGACAAUAUCCCAACUUCAUGGUUAGCUUGUGGAAAAUACCAUCUGUACCAUGAUGCAACACUUGAAUACAAGCAAACCGGUCAGAAAGAAAAUUCUUCGGUCAAGUUGCCAACUCAUGUCAAUCCCCUUUUAGACCCGCGACUCGAGUCUGCAGAAUUCCUGGCACACGUGCUAGUGUGCACUUCCCUUGACAUCAAAAAUACCUUGAGCCGAUGCAAACCGUGAAGCACUUGUGUACGUACAAGGUCGCCACAAUUAGUUUAGCCCCAUAUUGUUAGACCUGCGCAUGUCGGUUGUCCGUCUGUCGCUGACUGGUCACUGCCCGGACCGAGCCCAUUUCGCGGGACGUUGACGCUAGAGGAGCCGUUGCCGAGAGGAAACCCCCUUGUAGGGCAAUCUUGGCCUUGCCGUUGUCAAUGGUGUCAGAGAAGUCCUCGUCAAGAGUGAUGGUCUUGUUAGUGAAUGUCUUCACAAAGAUCUGCAUCUUGAGGUCAAGUCUUGACGAAUAUCUGCAUACCACCAUGUUGACGAAAUACGGAAUGUGGUAUAAACUCCUUUUGAAUGCUGUAGUCAGCCAGAGUGCUGCCAUCCUCAAGCUGCUUGCCAACAAAUAGGAAACAACCACUUCUCUUGAGGUAGAUUUCUUCUGUUUUGGAUCUUGACAAACAUCCGUGUGCAGGGGCGAAGCUAGCAAUAUGGUGUGGUUUGGCCAAUGCCAUACCUAAGCUGCCGUACAAAUACUAAUAUACUAUGUAUAUAUAAUAGAGCCAAGCAUAUUUUUUAUGUUUUGGGUUGAGGUGUGCCUCCUCCUGGAUUAAUUUGGUUGCUGCCGUUGGAGUGAUGGGUCAUGCCAUGGGCUGUCCACAUAUCGUUAAACUAGGGCACGAUCCAUCACGAUUCACGACUGCUCGGCUGUUCCGCUGACUACUCGCGAAACGGUGAGGCGGCAGGGGAAAGGGGUUUAGAACAUCUCCAGCCGCGUUCCCAGGCCCUUCUCAGGCGUUUUUUUACACCGAUGCCGGAAAAACAUCUCAGUCGCGUCCCCAGGACGCCGAAUUACGCCGGCUCGGCCCAUUUUUGCGUCCGGCAAUUGCAGGCCGACCCGGCGCACUGGGGGGCGCCGACGCAAGGGAAAAAAGCUCCUGGGCCACAUUGUCAGGCAAAAAGUCAAGCCACCCGUCCAGAUUCGCCUCCGCCCCCCGCACUCGGCCGCCACCCUGGACCAUCAUGCCGAUCCCAGCGCCGUCCACCGCCCACCGCAGCUAGAUAGAUCAUUCCCAGCCGGAAAAAAGAAGAGGUUUCGCCGAGGCAGCCUCUCCGCCGCAGUCCGGGCAACUUUUCCGGUGUUCUGGCCGCGCAGGGCCUGUACACCGGCGGGUUUGCGCCCACCUCGCCCGCAAGGUGUUCCGUGAUUUGCCCGGCCCGUCGAUGGACUCCAAAGAUGAGGAGGAGCUCGCGGCGUUGCUGGAGGAGGAAGCCGAAGCCGACGUCCAGGAGCAGGAGCAUCUCAUGGUGCUCGCUGCCCUCGCCGGCCUGCUCGCGAGCAGUGAAAAGCUGCGGCGAGGUGGCUCGAGGCCUGGGCGGGUGAAAGCAAAGAACCGGCAUCGUCUGGAAGGCUACUGCAUACUCUACUCGGACUACUUCGCCGACGCUCCAUUGCACGGUGAGAAAACAUUUCGGCGCCGUUAUCGGAUGAGCCGAAAGCUUUUCUUCAGGAUUGUGAAUUUCAUCUGGGAGUUCGACAGCUACUUCAAGUGCAAGAUGGAUUGCACCAGCACACUUGGAUUCACCUCAAUCCAGAAGUGCACGACAGCUAUGAGGAUGCUUGCAUAUGGAGCUCCCGGUGAUUCACUCGUAACAAGAAAAUAAAGUUUCUAUGAUCUGAUUGUGGAGAUUAAUAUUUGAGUUAUGAGUUUGGCCUUCACUUAAAACAACGUGGAAUUGUUUCACAACUCACGCCACCUGGAACAGCACAGCGUAAUGGUGUGUCCGAAAGUCGUAACCGUAUUUUAUUAGAUAUGGUGCAUUCUAUGAUGUCUCUUACCGAUUUACCACUAUCGUUUUCGGGUUAUGCAUUAGAAACAACCGCAUUCACGUUAAAUAGGGCACCGUGUAAAUCCGUUGAGACGACACCGUAUGAACUGUGGUUUGGCAAGAAACUUAAGUUGUCGUUUCUUAAAGUUUGGGGAUGCGACACUUAUGUCAAUAGGCUGCAGCGUUAUAAGCUCGAACCCAAAUCGGAGAAGUGCGUCUUCAUAGGAUACACUAAGGAAAUAAUUGGGUACAUCUUCUACUACAGAUUCAAAGGCAAGAUCUUUUUGCCAAGAAUAUAUCCUUUCUAGAGAAGGAGUUUCUCUCGAAAGAAGUGAGUGGGAGUAAAGUAGAACUUGAUGAGGUAAUUGUACCUUCUCUCGAAUAGGAAAGUAGCACAUUAGAGAAAACAAUUCCCUUGAUUCCUACACCAACUAGAUAGGAAGCUAAUGAUAACGAUCAUGCAAAUUUAGAUCAAGUUACUACUGGACCUCGUAGGUCGUCCAAAGUACGUUCCACACCAGAGUGGUACGGUAAUCCUGUCCUGGAAGUUAUGUUAUUAAACCAUGGCAAACCUACAAACUAUGAAGAAGCUAUGAUGAGCCCAAAUUCCGAUAAAUGGCUUGAGGCUAUGGUAAAGCCUGUAUUUACAAGAAAGUGAGUGGGAGCUCUAUAGCAUUUCUGAUAUUAUAUGUGGAUGGCAUAUUGUUGAUUGGAAAUGAUAUUGAAUUUUUGGAUAGCAUAAAAGGAUACUUGAAUAAGAAUAUUUCAAUGAAGAACCUCGGUGAAGCUGCUUAUAUAUUGGGCAUCAAUAUCUAUAGUGAUAGAUCGAGACGCUUGAUAGGACUUUCACAAAGCACAUACCUUGAUAGAGUUUUGAAGAAGUUCAAAAUGGAUCAGUCAAAUAAAGGGUUCUUGCCUAUGUUACAAGGUGUGAAAUUGAGUCAGACUCAAAGCCCGACCACUACAAAAGAUAGAGAGAAAAUGAAAGUCAUUCCCUAUACCUCAGCCAUAGGUUCUAUCAUGUAUGCUAUGCAGUGUACCAGACCUGAUGUGUGCCUUGCAUAAGUUUGGCAGGGAGGUACCAAAGUAAUACAGGAGUGGAUGACUGGACAGCGGUCAAGAACAUCCUGAAGUACCUGAAAAGAACCAAGGAUAUGUUUCUCGUUGAUGCAGGUGACGAAGAGUGCGUCGUAAAUGGUUACGUCAAUGCUUGCUUCAACACUGAUCCAGAUGACUCUAAGUCACGGACCGCAUACGUAUUUAUAUUGAAUGGUGGAGCUGUCAGUUGUUGAAGUUUCAAGCAGAGCGUCGUGGCGGGAUCUACGUGUGAAACGGAGUACAUAGCUGCUUCGGAAGCAGCACUUGAAGGAGUCUAGAUGAAGGAGUUCAUAUCCGAUCUGAGUGUAAUACCCAGUACAUCGGGUCCAAUGAAAUUUUUUUUGUGACAACAUUGGAGAAAUUGCCUUAGCGAAGCAAUCCAGGUUUCACAAGAGAACCAAACACAUCAAGAGACGCUUCAACUCCAUUCAUAAGAAUGUCAAGGAUGGAGACAUAGAAGUUUGAAAAAUACAUGCGGAUCUAAAUAUAGCAGACCCGUUGACUAAGCCUCUUCCACGAGCAAAACAUGAUCAACACCAAGACUCCAUGGGUGUUAGAUUCAUUACAAUGUAAUCUAGAUUAUUGACUCUAGUGCAAGUGGGAAACUAAAGGAAAUAUGCCUAGAGGCAAUAAUAAAGUUGUUAUUUUAUAUUUCCUUAUUCAUGGUAAAUGUUUAUUAUCCAUGCUAGAAUUGUAUUGAUCGGAAACUUAAAUACAUGUGUGGAUACAUAAACAUAUACCGUGUCCCUAGUAAGACUCUACUAGACUAGAUCGUUGAUAAAAAAUGGUUAAGGUUUCCUGACUAUAGACAUGAGUUGUCAUUUGAUAACGGGAUCACAUCAUUAGGAGAAUGCUGUGUUUGACAAGACCCAUCUAUUAGCUUAGCAUAUGAUCAAUCAGUUUAUUGCUAUUGCUUUCUUGAAUGUCAAAUACAUGUUCCUUCGACCAUGAGAUCAUGCAACUCCCGGAUACCUGAGCAAUACCUUGUGUGCUAUCAAACGUCACAACAUAACUGGGUCAUCAUAAAGAUGCCCUACAGGUAUUUCCAAAGGUCUCUGUUGAGUUGGCAUGGAUCGAGAUUGGAGUAUCGGAGAGGUAUCUCUGGGCCCUCUCGAUAAUACACAUCAUAAUAAGCUUGCAAGCAAAAUGACUAAGGAGUUAGUUACGAGAUGAUGUAUUAUGGAACGAGUAAAGAGACUUGCCAGUAAUGAGAUUGAAUUAGGUAUGGAGAUACCGACAAUCGAAUCUCAGUCAAGUAACAUACCGACAGACAAAGGAAAUUACGUAUGUUGUCAUUACGGUUUGACCGAUAAAGAUCUUCGUAGAAUAUGUAGGAACCAAUAUGGGCAUCCAGGUUCCGCUAUUGGUUAUUGGCCGGAGAGGUGUCUCGGUCGUGUCUACAUAGUUCUCGAACCCGUAGGGUUUGCACGCUUAACGUUCGUUGACGAUAUAAUGUUAUAUGAGUUACAUGAUUUGGUGACCGAAUGUUGUUCAAAGUCCUGGAUGAGAUCACAGACAUGACAAGGAGCUCUGGAAUGGUCCGGAGGUAAAGAUUGAUAUAUAGGACGAUGAUAUUUGGACACCGGAAGAGUUCCGGGAGGUACCGGGUAGUCAUCGGAUCACCGGACGGGGUUCCGGGAAGCCCUGGGGAUAAUGGACAUAUUGGGCCAAUAGAGGGGAGCACAUCAGCCCACAAGGGGCUGGUGCAGCCCCCAAUGGCAGCCAACCUAUGGGAGAAAGGAAGGAUGGGGAUUUGGCCUACCCCUUCCUUCCCUCUCCCCCUUUCCUUCCCCUCCGGCAUAAACAUGGAAGGGGUGGGGGGAGGCUAGGGGCAGAAGCCCAACUGGGAUUCGAACCCACUUGGUGCGCCUCCUGGCUGCCUCCCCUCUCCCCCACCUAUAUAUAUGUGGGAGGGGGCGCCACACAUAACAAUGACAACCUCUUAGCCGUGUGCGGAGCCCCUAUCCACAGUUUCAUCCCUCGGUCAUCUUUUCAGAGUGCUUAGGCGAAGCCCUGUGGAGAUAGCAUCACCACCACCGUCACCACGCCAUCGUGCUGCUGAAACUCAUCUACUAUGUCACCCGUCUUGCUGGAUCAAGAAGGCGAGGACGUCACCGAGCUGAACGUGUGCUGAACGCGGAGGUGUCGUACGUUCGUUACUUGGUCGGUUGGAUCGCAAAGAAGUUUGACUACAUCAACCGUGUUACUAAACGCUUCCGCUUACGGUCUACAAUGGUACGUAGACACACCCUCCCCUCUCCUUGCUAUGCAUAUUCACGGAUAGAUCUUGUGUGAGCGUAGAUUUUUUUCCAUGCAACGUUCCCAACAGGCCAUGGCUCAAGAGGUCGGACCCUGCGAGGCCGUGGAGUGAGUUCGACAUUCAGGUGCCUUGUGACUCCAUGGACUUAUUCAGAGCGGCCACCCACUCGAUCGUGGGCAACGGAAAUACGACCCUCUUCUCGGAAGACUGAUGGGUCGAGGGCCUUAGGGUGGAAGAGAUAGCACCUAGCCUCUAUGGCCCGGUGAGGCAAAACAUGAGAGCCACUAGAACGGUCUCCCAAGGAAUGACGAAUGCAGCCUGGGCCACGGAUAUCAGACCUGAGCUCUCACCACAAUUGCUACAGGAAUACUUACUACUGUGGGAGCGGAUAGCGGGGAUCCAACUGGAUCAAGACAGAGAUGACUCGGUGCACUGGGCAUGGGAAGCAAAUGGAACUUUCUCAACCCAAUUGGCAUACAAUGCAAGGUUUUGGGGCCGGCAGAUCACACCGGCAGCACAAUUCACGUGGAAGCCCAGGGCGCCGCUGAGAAGCAGGUUUUUUGCAUGGCUCGCCCUACGUAACAGAUGCUGGACUUCUGACAGAUUACCACGACGUGGACUAGACCACCAGCAAGCCUGCCCGUUAAGCGACCAAGCGGAGGAGACCGUAGAUCACAUCCUCGCCCAAUGUGUCUUUGCAAGAGAGGUAUGGACCCGGACAUGCACGGCGAUGAACAAACAAGAGUGGAUACCAAUUGCAGAUACAAGGCUUAUAGAGUGGUGCCCAAGUAAGGGUGGAAACAAUGGAGACGGAAAAGAUGUUCAUGUUCUCGUCUUACUUGUGAUGUGGGAAUUAUGAAAGCAUCGAAAUGCGAUCGUGUUUGAUGGUGCAACAUCAUUGGUGGAAGAGGUACUCUCCGCAAAAUCGAGGCCGAGGAUAGAUCAUGGAAAACAACAGGCAUCAUCAAGGCGGAUGGGGAGAGUCUCUUUAGAGCUCUAACGGUGGGUAGUGAUGCGAGAAGUUAGCAGCGUGUAUACUGGAUGCGUGGAGUUGGGUGUAUAUAUGUAUAUGUAAACCCAAAAUGAAGGGGCUCUCUACCCCUCUCUCUCUCUCUUCUAUAAUAAGUACGCGUACUCAUGCAUAUUUGAAAAAAAGAAAGAAAUGAAAAAGAGAUCUUUUAUCAGAUCGGAAGAGAUUUUGGUGCGUACCGAGCGCGCUGGCCAAAAGAGUCUUUUGGCAUUGCUAGUGACUCGGCGCCCCAGCUGCAGUGUAGGCUCGCCAAAAGAUCAGCCCCACAGCGGUUGCACUGGAUAAGAUCGACACUAAUCUUAUCGAAAACGAAAAGGCCGAACAAAACUAUCCGCCCCCGCUUCUGGAAACUGCGACCCAAGAACCAACCCCCUCCCUCCAAGCAGCCGCAACGCUCAGCAGAACGCAAACACGCCAUCACCGCCGUCACACCAAACGCAACAAAGCAGAGCAGACAGCAGAGGGUGGUCGACAUCGGAUCGGCAUGAUCCUCGUGGCGGUCAUGGCGGAGCUGCUGGAGGAGUACACGGCGGCGGUGGCGCGCGCCCUGGAGCGGCUGCUGUCCGCGGCGCCGCUGCGCAUCCUGCCGCGCCGCGUGCGGUUCGUCGUCCUCCGCACCCUCCCCUUCGCCUCCCCCUCGCCGCCCGUGCCGCCGCCGCCCCCGCACGCCGUCCCCGUUCUGCUCGCGCGCUGAUCAUGGGCGGAUCGAGCUCAGCUCAUGCUCUGGACUCAAGUGAGGCUGCUUCUUGUACAUACUCCGGUCCGGUUACCGGCCCAAUAACUCGGUCAGCAUGUACUCUGCUUGAGAUGUUGCUUGCCUGUUGUUUGACCUUGCGGACUAGUCAGUCAUGGCUCAACUGGUGAUGAGAUAUGUAAAUUUCUGUAUAUAUAUGCCAGCUUGUCACUUUCAGAUGUAGUAUUUCGAUUCGCAAAUUGUUGACUUGGAACAAAAAUUCUCAAAGAGUCGAUCAACUGCUAGUCUGCGUACAAACACUGUACAGGCAACCCGCAAAACCGUCGGGUAAAAACCGUAUUACGCCGAUUAAAGGGGAUUGUGAGGAUUAAAUCCCCUGCAAGUUAAAUUCCUCCCCAAUCCUUUUCAAGCUCCAAUCCCCUUGGGAAAAGAUUGAAUUAAGGCAAGUGUUUGGAAAUAAAUAAAUAACCAUGAGUUUGUAUAAAUAAAUAAAAUAAUUGUACCAUUGAUAAGCCCGGUACGAGUACGGGAGGCAAUACACAUACCGUGUAUCCGCAUAUCUAUAUGUUAGAAGGGAGAGAGAGGAUUGGUGGAAUAGUUGUUGUAUUGCUUGAGCCUCGUUGGCAUAUAUAUAGGAGUACAUGAUCUACUUGGAGUACAAGCCAAGCCAGAAUAUUUCCUAGUCUAACCUAUGUUUCCUAAUACAAUCACAUUAUUCAACAUCCCCCCGCAGUCACAACGGUAGCAAUGCAGACCGUGAGACUGAAGAAGAAUUUGAAGGCAAGCCGACGGACACCCUCCAAAGUCGUAACGGUCGACGCAUCACGGAGUCGUGGCUAGAGUGGAAACCAAUGAGGUUGCUCAAGCAGGCGGUAGCCCUUUGUGCCGUUUGUCGAUGUAGCCGAGAGCGUGGGUGGUGGAGUCGUGGUCGAGGUAGCCGUGCGAAGAAUGCCGCGGUCGAUGUCGAGUCGGGGUGGCCGGUGUCGAGGAAGUCACCGUGGAGCCGCAGGCGCAAGAGGGCGCCGAGUUAGCAUGGGCACAUUGGUGUCGAAGUAGGGGUGCGUCGGGAAGAAAAUGUUGUUGACGACACGUCGCAGCGGGUUUGCCAAGCCCGGGGACACAUCGUGGACGAAGGCACGCACCGGUGUUGCCAGCACCAGGCAUGCGUAGACGGACGAAGACGAAGUUGACGAAGCACCGACCAGGCUUGCCAGGACCGGGGACACGCCGUGGAUGAAGGCACGCAUCGGUGUUGCCAGCACCGGACAUGCGUAGACGAGGGACCUGCACGAGCUGUACGCCAUGUCGGAGAAGUCAGAGGGGCCAGCAGAGAAGAACUCGACGACGAUUGCGGCGUCCAUCGGCACGGGGCCGAUGUCACCAAUGGUGGUCGGAGUAGACGAAGUGGUUGGGGUAGAUGACGACGACGCUGGUGAUGGGCUGGUGCUUGGACGAAGACGAAGGGGUUGGACGGGCGGCGGCAGCGGCGGCUACGAACGUAGCGGCGGCGGCAACCAAAGAAGAGCGGCGGCGGCGGCCUGACGGCGGCGGCGGCGGCGGCUAGGUUAAGAGUGCGGCGGCGGUGCUCGAAGUAGGCGAAGAACCCUGAAAGCGUGACGAAGACCGGCGCGGACGGUGGCGUUCCCGCGCCAAGGAAGACGGCGCGGCGCAUACCACGGGAGGUCGACGCGUGGUGACGGCGGAGCAGGCCGCGAGCCGCGGCGCUACGGCCCGAAGGGGCGACGCAGCGGCGGCAGGCGGGUCGGGUCGACGGUGGGAAGACCUCUGGGCGGCGACGGGGACCGCGGGCCGUGACGCUGCGGCCUGAAGGGGCGACACAACGGCGGUUCGCGAGUCGGUGCAACCUCGGGGUGGCGGCGGGGACCACGUAUUGCGACACUAUGGCCUGAAGGGGCGACGCAGCGGCGAUGCACGAGUCGAUGCAGCCGCGAGGAGAACCACGGGGCGGUGGUGCUGCGGCCCGACGGGGCGACGCAGCGGCAGCCCGAUGCUCGAUCGGUGGAGAGGCACACUGAACUUAGGGACGGUCUUCACAGGACCUGCGGAGGCGCGCGUAACCGAAGGGCCAGGUCGGUUGCGCGGCGUAGAUGAGGCGGAUCGUGGCGGCGAGCGGGUUAUCAAGCCGAUCACGCGCGAGGUCAGGGACGCCGCUCGAUGGAGGCAUGGUGACGGCGGAGUCCGAGAUGAAGCCAACGACGACGGACGGCGUGGGACAUCGUGCGGACGAGCUUGUCAGCACCGGCACCCGGGCUGCCAAAGCAACGCCGGUGCCCGGGAAGCGAGGCCCGAGCGACCAACGGAGCAGCGGCGCCCGAGUUGAGGUAGCCGACGAGCCUGACGCAGCCGUCCCGACGCAGCCGAGGACGAGGCCGGCAAGGUAGACUGCCGGGCCACCGUGUAGACACGGCGGAGGCAGGUGAUGUGGAUCGAUGGGCGGGCCGGCGCGCGAGUGACGGCUAUGAUUGGUCGUCGCAUAGCGCGAGGCCACCGGGUCAGGGCGAUGCAGGUGUCCCGGUCGGAGCAGGGCGGUGACGGCCGGCGCAGGGCGACGGGCGGACCGGCGCGCGGACGGCGGCUGGCCCUGACGGGCCGCCUCGGCGCGCGUGGCCGCCGGGUCGGAGGAGAGGCCCGCUGGUCACACAAGGGCGGAGUAGAGGCGCUCGGGGUCAACGGCGGCGGUGGACGACGCAAACCGAUCAAGAAUAGACCGGAAAACCAAAAAGAAACCGCGCGAUCAAGAUGACCGGCGGGAGAGAAAACCCCGGAGCAAGGCUCGGGGAAAAGACUUUCUAGGGCAGCAGGUCAACACGACUAGCGGACGAACCCUAGGUACGGGCGACGCGGUCCCUGGCGGCGGUCAUGGAGGCCGACCGCCCCAGGGGCGGCGCUCGGGUGCGGAAGGGGCGGUGGCUAGGGUUUAGGAUCGACUUGCGAUAGAUACCAUGUUAGAAGAGAGAGAGGAUUGGUGGAAUAGUUAUUGUAUUGCUUGAGCCUCGUGGGCAUAUAUAUAGGAGUACAUGAUCUACUUGGAGUACAAGCCAAGCCAGAAUAUUUCCUAGUCUAACCUAUGUUUCCUAAUACAAUCACAUUACUCAACACUAUAUACUAAUUUCUUCUAACAGAUAGGUCCCUUGUUCGUGUAUCGUUCUUUUUCUUCCUAUCAAAGAAAGAGGCGACCUCGCCCCUGCACCGGCAGGGAGUUCCUCCGGCAGCUCCCCUCCACCGACGACCUCUGGAUUUGGCACUCCUCCUUUGGUAUGCCAGGAACUUACAAUGACAUCAACGUCCUGCAGUGCUCGAAUGCCUUUGCCAAACUUGUUGAAGGUCAUACUUCUCCGGUGAACUUCGAGGUUACUAGGCACAACUACAAUAAGGGAUACUAUCUAGUAGAUGGCAUCUAUCCAAGAUGGUCAACAUUUGUGAAGACUGUCUCAAACCCUGUGCUAGGAGGCAAGAACUCCUACUUUGCUAAGUCAGGAGGCUUGCAGGAAGGAUGUCGAGCGGGCAUUUGGUGUGCUUCAAUCUCGAUUUGCUGUUGUCCGGUAUCCCGCUCUGACCUGGUCGAAAUCUCAGAUGUGGGAGGUGAUGAAUUGUUGUGUCAUCUUUCACAACAUGAUCAUUGAGAGCGAACAGGAUGAGACAGUGUUUGACACUAAACCAUAUUUCAGGCAGAGUCCUCUUGCGGCUGUUGAUCACCAGGUACCGGCAGCGUGGGCUGUCUUCCUCAAUAUGCGUCAGGAGAUCUGAGACCCACAGGUGCAUCAAGAACUGCAGCACGAUCUAGUGGAGCACCUAUGAAGGUUCAAGGGCAACGCCUAGUUCAAUGUGUUUAAUUUUGUAUUUGAAUUAUGAGCUUGCUUCGUUGAACUAUUUGAUUUUUAUUGAUUUCUAUGAUGAACUAUGUGAUAAAAAUUAGUUUUUGUUGAAUUNNNNNNNNNNNNNNNNNNNNNNNNNNNNNNNNNNNNNNNNNNNNNNNNNNNNNNNNNNNNNNNNNNNNNNNNNNNNNNNNNNNNNNNNNNNNNNNNNNNNNNNNNNNNNNNNNNNNNNNNNNNNNNNNNNNNNNNNNNNNNNNNNNNNNNNNNNNNNNNNNNNNNNNNNNNNNNNNNNNNNNNNNNNNNNNNNNNNNNNNNNNNNNNNNNNNNNNNNACUUGGGUGUGGCUGGGAACCAUAGCCCCUCACGCUGAAAAUAGCGCCGGUAAGCUCUGAAGAGGCGCUAUUUUCCGCCUAAAAACACCCUUGUGGGGUCGAAACGGUUGAAGAUGCUCAACCAGCUCAGUUCGUGCCCUAAUCUUGUUAGUUGGUGACAGACAUGUUUACUGUAUCAAGAUUGGCGUGUCUUCGCCAAUAGGUCAUCGAUUGUCGUGAAAAUUGGCGUGUGUCUUGGCUAGACUGUCCAUUCACCCUUUUUCAAACUUGUUCAGAAACUCAAACUUUUUUGGUCAGUUUAAAUAAUGUUCGCGCUUUCAAAAACUGUUCCUAUUUUCCAAAAAAUAGUGCACAAAUCAAGUAUGUUUAGGGAAAUUCAAAAAAAAGUUCCAUUUUUUUUGUAAUUUUCUGACUUUUCGAAAUUCCAAAUUUUUUAUAUUUUUAUUUUUCUUUUGAAAUUUUAAAAAUUGUUUGUGUUCAGAAUUAUGUUCUCAAUUUUGAAAAAAUGUUUGAGUUUUGACAUGCUGAGGAAAUUUGGAAGACACAAACAUUUUUUUAAAUGCUAAUAUUUUUAAGUUUUUGAAUUUUGUUAAAAAGCGAACACUUUUUUGAAAUUUUGAACAAAUCCCUGUGCGUGGCAUCGUCUAUUGGAGGAGCUCCUAGUCACCGCUUUAAGCGCCGGUUAGGAAACUGCGGUCGUGCGCAUGCCAGCAGGCCGUAGCCAAAUAUUGCGCAAGCUCGCUCGCCCGCUUAGCAGCUUCGCACCCUCGUUCGCUUUGCCCAUUAGCUUUGAAAAAGGUUAAUGAAUUUGAAAAGUUAAGAUGUUGGAAAUAUAGUUCACGAAUUUUAAAAUUAUUCUUGAGUUAAACUUUAAAAAGUUAAUAAAUUUAAAGAAAGUUCAUAAGUUUGAAAAACAAUUGUGAAACUAAAAAUUGCUAUGAGUUUAAAUUUUAAAAAUACUAUGAACUUGGAAAAAGUUCAGGAAUUUGAAAAAAUUUCACAAGUUAAAAUUUUAAAAGAUUAAUAAAUUUUAAUAAAGUUCUCGUUUAGAAAACUUUCACAAAUCUGGAAAUGUUUGCGUAUUUUGAAAAAUGUUUCACGAAUUUUUAAGAAGUUCACAAAGAAACGUUAAAAUAAGAAAGGGAAAAUAAAAAUAAAACGGUAUUGGAAAAAGAAGGAGCAAAAACCAAGCGGAAACCAUGGAUAAAAAAACCAAAAGAAAAAUAGCAUGGAAACACCAUGCAGAUCUGAACCGGAAAUGUGGACAGCAAUAAGUAAAAGAAGUGGUAGUGUGCAUAACAGGUUAUGUAUCCAGUACAAGAAUCUGUGCAAUCCAAGCCUUCCGGGACAUCAUCCACCCGCAACUGCUUUCUCUCCUUUGUUAGGAAAUAAGCUGGUAACUGUGUUAGGAAAUAAGCUGAAGGUAUUUGGUUCGAAUCUCGGGUUGCGCAAUAUCCUUUGAACCUAAAAAAAAGAAAAAAAAAGUAAAUGGGCCAAGCCCAGGACAAAGCCUAUAAUAACCANNNNNNNNNNNNNNNNNNNNNNNNNNNNNNNNNNNNNNNNNNNNNNNNNNNNNNNNNNNNNNNNNNNNNNNNNNNNNNNNNNNNNNNNNNNNNNNNNNNNNNNNNNNNNNNNNNNNNNNNNNNNNNNNNNNNNNNNNNNNNNNNNNNNNNNNNNNNNNNNNNNNNNNNNNNNNNNNNNNNNNNNNNNNNNNNNNNNNNNNNNNNNNNNNNNNNNNNNNNNNNNNNNNNNNNNNNNNNNNNNNNNNNNNNNNNNNNNNNNNNNNNNNNNNNNNNNNNNNNNNNNNNNNNNNNNNNNNNNNNNNNNNNNNNNNNNNNNNNNNNNNNNNNNNNNNNNNNNNNNNNNNNNNNNNNNNNNNNNNNNNNNNNNNNNNNNNNNNNGUGUACCGAAGAAGAGCUCAUAGUAUAAACGGUUCACGAUUUCUGUCGACAACUAUCUCUGAUGGUUGUAGGACGAGGGGCCUCCAUAGGAACUCCUCCGAAGAUUAACUCGAUAACUUUAUCAGACUUUUUACAGAGCCUGCUCAUAUCCUCUGUUCAACAAUCGUUUUAAGUGGUCUACCUCCGACAGUGAACUGUACUCUGCCUAUCCAGCCUAUGAUGCCAAGCUCUUUGUAGAAAUCCCCAAUCCUACCUUGAAACGGUGUGGGAAAUCUAACCUAAUAAGGCAAAGAUCAAGUUCUAUAUUUGGCUGCUUUUACAAAACAGACUCCGACUGCUAGUUUUUGUUUUUCCUAACCGCAUUCACACCCCCUUUACAUUAAUUUCCUAAUAGAAAUAUCCAGUACAAUAGUCGCACAUAACAGCAGACUCUGAUUGCUACUACAACCUCCAGUUUAGCCUACCAAAACGUAUUAUUUUUUGGAAUGAAGGUGGUACUCCCUCCGUCCGGAAAUACUUGUCAUCAAUUUGAAUAAAAGGGGAUGUAUCUAGAUGUAUUUUAGUUCUAGAUACGUCCCUUUUUGUCCAUUUUAAUGACAAGUAUUUUCGGACGGAGGGAGUAGUUGAUAGGCUGCUUCCUCCGAAUUCGCCCGGAAUCAGCUGCCCACCUGAUCCCUUCUGUGAUCAUGUAUAGUAGUCAAUGAAAAUGCAUAACACCCGCUAGUUGCAGUAAAACUAGAAAAAAAUGACGGAAACUUCAAUACACCAGAAAAAUAGUACUCCCUCUAUCCGGAAAUACUUGUCGGAGAAAUAGAUGUAUCUAGACGUAUUUUAAUUCUAGAUACAUUCAUUUUUAUGCAUUUCUUCGACAAGUAUUUUCGGACGGAGGGAGUAGUAGUACUCUGCUGAUUUGGAAAGAACAUGAGCUGCACGUUUACAGUAUCCAACAUCUGGAUAUCACACAUUUACAGUAUGUGUGUACUAAUGCACUACUGGAUGCACUUGCAUUUAUAAAAAUAUAGUAGCAGUACUAAUGCCUGUAUAUCCAACAUUUGGAUUCCCACAUCGGUAUCCAUCUCAGACAUUCAAUGCAAGCUCGAAGGAACAUCUAUAAAUAGCAGGCUGAUGAGUUCACAUCGACCCCAUCCCAUCACAUCGAAAACAAAAGCAAAGCGAAGCCUAAUCGUGUUCGUGUUGGCCAUGGGGUUCAACAGAGCACAGUUGUUUGGUGCCUUCGCCCUGGGCUUGCUCAUCAUGAUCCACAGUAAGUUCAGAGACCAGCGCCACACAACAUGCCCAUCCUGUUAAAAAGAUGCAUCCACUCUUGUGCUAGAAACAAAAAUCUAAUUCUGUGGUGCACGUGUGGAGGCGGUUCAUCCCCGUCCCCGGAUAUGCCAUUCCCCUAGCCAUCUUUAUAGUGGCUCAUGCAACAACAGGAAAUGCACGGAGACGUGCCACCACGAGCACUUCACCGGCGGCUACUGCACACGUAGAGGGGUUGUUAAAGAACUUCACUGUCAAUGUACCAUGAGAUGCAGCAAGCAUAGUCCUCCACCGCCGUCGGAAGUGCCGCCACCGCCGCCGUCCAAAGUGCCACCACCACCAAAUGUCAUGCCGGCGAGAAAAAUCUCUGGAGGCAUGAACUACUGACUGAAACCAUCAUUUUCUUGUCUCCAUGGAAAUGUUCAAUUUGUAAGGAACUAAACAUGCAUGAUCGAUCGCAUGAAAAUAAUUUGAAAUGUCGAAACAGGAAUAAGAAACUCUUUAAUUUGAGACUCUGCCUGACAGAAUUGUGGUCGGUUUUACUUAGUCUCCAUUGCCAUGAUUUCAUAUCAGGCACACUCAUGUCCUAUCAUAUAUCAUAUCAAAUACAUAACCAUGGCAUAUUAAAGUGAUCCGAUAUUUGUCUUCAAGGCGAUUGAGCAUUGAGCUCAACUCGACACCGACUUGAAAAGAAAUAAUAUAAUUUUGCAUACCUUUUAUAGCCCAGUCAAAAGAGGAGGUAAGAAUUCUAAAAAAAAGAGAAGGUAAGAGGGACGAUGUUAAAAUUAUUCACCUCAAUAUAGUUCAAAUGAACAUAGUUAGCAUCUUAGUUGCAAAAAAAAACUAGAAUAAGAGAAAUUCAUAUCUCAACCCCGAACUCUAAGGCCAGUUUAAUUUGACCCGAACAACAGAACCGGUUAAAACACAACGCCCUAGAAGUGUAGCACACUGUAGCAUGGUAGCAGCCAAAUUAGCAUUGUUGGCCCAGGUAGCAGCCAAAUCGUUUUCUUCCUCGUUUUCCCCCUGGGUUGUACGCAAAUAGACUCUCAUAGUGUCAUGCACCAUAUAUAAAUGCAUAUCGGAGCAUACAUACUAAAUGUUUUCUGCAAAACAUAUUUGUAUGCAUUGGAUACAAUUGCAUUAAGCCGAAAUCACUAGUUAAAGAGCACUCUUUGCAAAGACCACCCACAUCUCUCCAGGUUGCCACAAGCGUCGCACUGGCCACUUGCCGCAACCUUAGAGGUUCUCUUUUCUUUUGUAGAUUUGUUUUUCAAAAUGUUUAUCUCUCAAACCGCGAGUCCAAAUCUUGUUUCACUGUUGGAUUCGUCGUGUUAGGAUCUUCAAAAUAAGAUCCCAUGUUGAUAGGUUUCGACGAACGUUUUUUCACGAAAAAACCGGUAGAAAAAACCCGAAUAGGGAUUACAUUUUUCCCUUUCCGAAAGGCACGGCCGUGCCCCUCGUGGAAGCAGAUCCGUGCCUUCACAAGAAGUAAAUCCACGCCUCUCGUGAUAGGAAGAAAAAGAAAACGCGUUUUUUAUCCCUUUUGCGAGAGGCACUCGCAUAAGCAAAUCCGUGCCUCCACGAGAAGUAAAUAUCUGCCUCUUGCGGAAGGAAAAAAAGAAGAAAACACAUUUUUUUUCCUUUCCUAGAGGCACGGCCAUACCUCUCGCAGAAGCAAAUCCGUGCCUCCACAAAAAGUAAAUCCGUAUCUCUCGUGGUAAAAAAAAAAUGGAAAACACGUUUUCCCCUUUUACAAGAGGCACCUCGCGAAAAAACACAUUUUUUCCUUUUCGAGAGGCACAACCGUACCUCUCGCGAAAGCAAAUCUGUGCCUCCAUGAGAAGUAAAUCCGUGCCUUUUGUAGUAGGAAAAAAACAUGUAUUUUUUCCUUGCCUCCACGAGAAGUAAAUUCUUGCCUCUCCCCCCCCCCCCAAAAAAAAAGAAAACACAUUUUUGCAUCAAUUUUUUUGUUGUCCAAAAUCUAAAAAAAGUCCAGGGAAAAACAAAAAAGCCGAAAAAAAUCAUCUAAAAGCCGAAAACGGGUGCAGAAUUUUUUUUUAAAAAACCGAAGAAAACGCCCAGAGCAUGACACGUGGCGGGCGAUGAGAGGGCUUCAAGUGCGCUAAUUUUUUUUUGCGAAAAAGGAGCACUCAUUGNNNNNNNNNNNNNNNNNNNNNNNNNNNNNNNNNNNNNNNNNNNNNNNNNNNNNNNNNNNNNNNNNNNNNNNNNNNNNNNNNNNNNNNNNNNNNNNNNNNNNNNNNNNNNNNNNNNNNNNNNNNNNNNNNNNNNNNNNNNNNNNNNNNNNNNNNNNNNNNNNNNNNNNNNNNNNNNNNNNNNNNNNNNNNNNNNNNNNNNNNNNNNNNNNNNNNNNNNNNNNNNNNNNNNNNNNNNNNNNNNNNNNNNNNNNNNNNNNNNNNNNNNNNNGAUAGAAAUACCCGUAUCCAACAUUUGGAUAUCACACAUUUACAGUAUGUGUGUACUGAUGCACUUGCAUUUAUACGUACUAAUGCCUGUAUACCCACCAUUUGGAUUCCCACAUCGAUAUCCAUCUCACACAUUCAAUGUAAGCUCGAAGCUAUAAAUAUCAGGCGGAUGAGUUCACAUCGAUCCCAUCACAAGCAAAGCAAAGCGAAGCCUAAUCGUGUUCGUGUUGGCCAUGGGGUUCAACAGAGCACAGUUGUUUGCUGCCUUCGCCCUGGGGUUGCUCAUCAUGUCCCACAGUAAGUUCAAAUACUAUCGCCACACCACAAGCCCACCCUGUUGCUACUUGAAAAGGUCCAUCCAUUCUUGUGAUGAAAACAAAAAUCUAAUUCUGUGGUGCAGGUGUGGAGGCGGUUCGUCCCCGUCCCCGGAUAUGCCAUUCCCCAAGCCAUCUUUAUCAUGGCUCAUGCAACAACAGGAAAUGCGUGGAGGUGUGCCACCACGAGCACUUCACCGGCGGCUACUGCUCACGUAAAGGGGUUGUUAAAAGACUUCAUUGUGAAUGUACCAUAAAAUGCGGCCAUUAUAGUCCUCCACCGCCGUCAGAAGUGCCGGAGCCGCCGCCGUAUGAACGGCCGCCACCACCACCAAGAGUCAUGUAGGGGAGAAAAGUUUAUGGAGCCAUGAACCACUGAUUGAAAGGAUAAUAUUUGCGUAUUCAUGGAAAUGUUCGAUUUGUAAGGAACUACACAUGCAUCAUUGAUAUCAUGAAAAUAAUUUGUAGUGCCGUCAAUAAUAAGAAAAACCUUUUUAAUUUGAGACUUGCCUUAGGGACUUGUGGUCGGUAUUACUAAACCAUCUCCGUUGCCAUGAUUUCAUUUCUCAUAUUACGCACACUCAUGUGCUAUCAUAUAUCAUAUCAAGCCCCCAAUUGUCAGCGCUUGGUCAUCCUUGAGCACGUGACCAUCGACCUCCCCCACAAACGUUUCGGCAACCAUCAGCAUGUUGACGUCCUGCAUAGCAUGUUGGUCAUCCAUAUUUGUGAAUGCUUGGUCGCCCAUGCCGCAAGCGCUUGGUGACCGUUGUCCAUGUUGGCUAACGCUGGUCGACCAUGUCGCUGAGAGCUUGCUAGCAGUCGCCAACGUCACCGAGAGCCUGCUGACCGUCCUCGGCCGCGAGUGAUUUUGAAUUUAUUUGGCGCGAUUAAUUGCCUACCAAAUUAAUUAACUGGCUGUCUAAUUAAAAAACCUAUUCCAAAUUAUAUGCAUGCUUUAUUAAUUGCCUGCCUAAUUAAUUAAUUUCAUUAAUAGCUCAAUUUUAAAUUGAUUUGACGCAAAAAAUCCUUAUUAAUGGACUCUCCUAAUUAAUUGCACAAGUAAUUAAUUGUUUAGAUAAAUAAUCGUAGUAAUGACUUGGUUUCAAUGCUUGAUUUAAAAAUUAUUUUCACAUUAAUGACUGUGUGCGAACAACUACAUACACAUACACCUUUAAUAGUAGAGAUUUGAUAUUUGUCUUCGAGGCGCGUGAUCCAAUUGAGCUCGACUCGACACUCACCUCAAAAGAAAUAAGGUAAUUGUGAAUACCUUUUAUAGCUCGGUCAUAAAAGAGCCGAAAUUAACUAAGACUAGUUUGCUAAAUUUUGACUCUCCACAUAGUUCGAAUGAACAUAGUUGGCGUGUUAGUUGCAAUAUCAAGAAUGGAACUAGAAUCAUUUGUUUAACCUAUUUUGAAAAUUAACUUGAUACUUUAGAAAAAUACUCUGUGGCAAGCGUGCCUAUAUUAAGAUGUAGGAAAACAUAUAAAGAUGAGUACAAACUGGACGGCCCUUCCAACUAAACAUCGACGGUGACUUUUGUGUCUGCCAUUGUGGCCAUCUGAUGUCAUGCUCCACCAUCGCUGAAGUAAACACCGGAGAAGAAUGACGCGGCUGACCAUCAUCCCAUGAACAAGAAACACCAUCACCUGAUGGUUUUCGAAAAAGGGUUUCCCCCCGCUUUGUAUAUAAAGCAACCAACCAAAACAUCCAACGAUAGGUGUUGGGGCGGAAGCAGCACAGUCACGCCCAAAAAAAAAUACAAGAGAAACAAACGCCGACAACGGCGGAUCGACAAAGAAACAAAGAAGCCUCGUGGCCGCUGCACCCACCGGGGAUCUCCCACCAGACUCCGAGCCUCCGAAGCACCGGUACCAAUCAACACCUCCAAGAAGGGACGCGACGAAGACGACGCUGCUGCCAAGGGUUUCCCCCAGUACACAGUGAGGAAAGAGGAAGGGUAGCUCCGACGCCCUCCAGGAAGGUCUGGCGGCACCCACAAGCGCCACCGCGUCGAUGUCGGCCAAGCCAAUCGAGAUUUCUCUCGAUCCCAACCUCCAACUCAGGCACUCCGAAGCUCGCCGCCAAACAGACCCUCACCCUGCGCCACCCGGACACGAAGCGUUCAACGCUGUCUCACCACGACACUGUGAAGCAUGGUCGGCACGAUGAAGAAGAGGAGCCGGGACAAGGCAGCAGCACCGUCGGCACGCGGGAGGGCCCCACCUCCACCGCCGAAGACGGUAGCUGACUGGACGCAAUGGCAGGAACACACCAGGCCCGUGGCCGCACAGGCCCGGCCGGGAACGCAGGCCCGUAAAGUUCCCGCCUUCGCGCUGCAGCCGGCACGCCGUCAGCUCCGCCGCCCCUGUCCAAGCCGCUUCCCUUCCUCCCCACGCCGAAAGCCGCCAAGGGAGGCACCACCACCACGCGCACCGCCGGCCACCAUCACCAGGUCGCCGAACCGCCACCGGCCGAGCCGCACCACCGCCGCACGCCCACNNNNNNNNNNNNNNNNNNNNNNNNNNNNNNNNNNNNNNNNNNNNNNNNNNNNNNNNNNNNNNNNNNNNNNNNNNNNNNNNNNNNNNNNNNNNNNNNNNNNNNNNNNNNNNNNNNNNNNNNNNNNNNNNNNNNNNNNNNNNNNNNNNNNNNNNNNNNNNNNNNNNNNNNNNNNNNNNNNNNNNNNNNNNNNNNNNNNNNNNNNNNNNNNNNNNNNNNNNNNNNNNNNNNNNNNNNNNNNNNNNNNNNNNNNNNNNNNNNNNNNNNNNNNNNNNNNNNNNNNNNNNNNNNNNNNNNNNNNNNNNNNNNNNNNNNNNNNNNNNNNNNNNNNNNNNNNNNNNNNNNNNNNNNNNNNNNNNNNNNNNNNNNNNNNNNNNNNNNNNNNNNNNNNNNNNNNNNNNNNNNNNNNNNNNNNNNNNNNNNNNNNNNNNNNNNNNNNNNNNNNNNNNNNNNNNNNNNNNNNNNNNNNNNNNNNNNNNNNNNNNNNNNNNNNNNNNNNNNNCGGAGGAGGAAGAGCAGGGCCCCGCCGCCGCCGCCGCCGGUCAGGCCAAGCCCGGCCGCGCCCCCUGGCGGCGGCGAGGGAGGAGGGAGGAGGAGGGGAGACCGGCGGCGGAGGGAUCUAGGCGCCCGCCCCGGCCGCGUACCUCUGAUGGUUUUACUCUGUAGUAGCCGCGUACCUCUGAAGACAAGAUCAAAGUCUUCGGCGAACCUACAAGGCCGAGGACACGCUCUAGGCCACCGUCGGACGUGGCCAAGGAAGACAUCCAAAUCUGCUCGCCACACACCCAAAUUUACCAUUGACUGCAUUAUAGAUACUCCCUCGUAUUAACAUAUAAGAUGUUCUUUGACAAUAGGAGUAUGUCGGUACAGAUACGUCGUAGAAAAAUAGAGAUGCAACUAAAUACGGUGCAAUUGAAGGCGCGUGACCCAGAUCACGAUGAGACUGGUCGGUACAGAUAGUGGCACCUAUGUAGCUCGGUCUCCACUAGGAACUUUUUCUAGAUUACAAAAGUUAAACUUGAGUUAAACUGUGCUGACAAUGGAUAGUAAAUAGUGGGGUCUCCUAGAGAGUUGAUCUUCAUUUACCGGAGCCCAUAUUAGCCAACCAUCUCUUAGUCGGCAUACUCCUUGGCAUAUUCAUAUUCAAGUGUCAAGUUCUUCAGAUAAGUUCACAGAACUGGCGUCCUUACAAUUUUCCUCUCCCGAGGAAGAUCCUUGUUCUCGAUUAGAUGAACGAAACCACGAGAAGAUUGUUUGGUUGAAGAAUUUGGGGACGGCGUACUUGAUGAAAUGAACAUCUUCCCAGUUGCUUUUACUGAGACAUAUUGAGCCACUAAACCAACCACUGGGAGUAUUAAUUAGAAAAUAGGAACAUCUUCAUUACAAUCGCGCAAGGUCAGGCUCAACAGGCAGGUCAGCGUUGUGCCUUGCAUUAGAGCAUCUCCAGCCGCGCCCCAAACAGCCCCCCCUCGCGACUUUUUGGGCGCCGGCGUCGAAAAACAUUCCAGUCGCGCCCCCAAGACGCCGAAAUCCGCCGGCUCGAUCCGUUUUUGAGCCCGGCGAUCCCAGGCCGAUUGCUCGGGGGCUCCGGCUGAAGGAAAAAACACGCCUGGGCCACACUGUCAGGUGAAAAGUCAAGGAAAUCGUCCAGGUUCGCCCCCACCCCCACGCGCUCGGCCACCACCCUUGCCGACCCCGGCGCCGCCCACCGCCUAGCACCGCUAGAUAGGCCAUUCCCCGCGGGAAAGGAGAGAAGGUUUCGCCGCGGCAACCUUGUCACCACCUUCCGGGCGAGUUUUCCAGUGCCCAGGCCGCGCAGGGCGGCAUACAGGCGGCUGUGCGCCUACCAGACCCGCCAGGUGUUCGGCGAUUUCUGCCCGGCCCGGCGAUGGACUCGGACGACGAGGAGGCGCUCGCGGCGUUCCUGGAGGAGGAAGCCGAAGCCGACGUCCAGGAGGAGGAGCAUCUCAUGGUCCUGCCGCCCUCGCCAGCCUGCUCACGAGCAAUGAAAAGCAACGGCGAGGUGGCUCGGCGCUGGGGUGGGUGAUAGCAAAGAACCGACAUCGUCUGGAAGGCUACUGCAUGCUCUACUCCGACUACUUCGCCAACGUUCCAUUGCACGGCGAGAAAACAUUUCGGCGUAGUUAUCUGAUGAGCUGAAAACUUUUUCUCAGGAUCGCGAAUUCCAUCCGGGAGUUCGACAGUUACUCCAAGUGCAAGAAGGAUUGCACCGGCACACUUGGAUUCACCUCAAUCCAGAAGUGCACGACAGCUAAGGAUGCUUGCAUACGGAGCUGCCGAUGAUCCACUCGACGACUAUGGCGCAUGGCCGAGUCCACGACCAUUGAGUAUUUCUACAAGUUCUACAGGGCAGUGGCGGCAGUGUUUGGGCCGCAAUACUUGGGAUCACCCAAUGCUGAAGACACUGCUCGUAUCCUAGCACAGAAUGCAGCAAGAGGAUUUCCUGGGAUGCUUGAAAGCAUCGACUGCAUGCAUUGGAAAUGGAAGAACUGUCCAUUUGCUUGGCAGGGGAUGUACAAAGGCACCAAAGGCGGUUGCAGUGUGUUACUUGAGGCAGUGGCUACACAUGACCUCUGGAUUUGGCACUCUUUCUAUGGGAUGCCAGGAACUCACAAUGACAUCAACGUCCUGCAGUGCUCCCCUGUCUUUGCCAAGCUUGUUGAAGGUCAUUCUCCUUCGGUGAACUUCGAGGUCAAUGGCGGCACUACAACAAGGGGUACUACCUAGCUGAUGGCAUCUAUGCGAGAUGGUCUACAUUUGUGAAGAUUAUCUCAAACCCUGUGCCAGGAGGCAAGAACUCCCGCUUUGCGAAGGUUCAGGAGGCUUGCAGCAAUGAUGUCAAGCAGGCAUUUGGUGUGCUCCAAUCUUGAUUUUCUGUCGUCCGGUACCCUGCUCAGACCUGGUCGAAAGAUCAAAUGUGGGAGAUCAUUACUUGCCGUGUCAUCUUGCACAACAUGAUCAUUGAGAGCGAGUAAGAAGAGCCAGUAUUUGACACUGAACCAUAUUACAGACAGGGUCCUCUUGCGCAAGUUGAUCAUCAGUUACCGGCAACCUGGACUACCUCCCUCAAUAUGCGUCAGGAGAUCCGAGUCCCACAGGUGCAUCAACAACUGCAGCACGAUCUGGUGGAGCACCUAUGGAGGCUCAAGGGCAAUGCCGCCUAGCUCGAGGUGGAUUUUUUUGUUCAAAAUGACCACCUACCUAGUCAAAUUGAUAAAAAAGACCAUCUCUGAAAUUUUUUGACAAAAGAGACCAGCUAGGCCGUGGCGGCAGGCGCGUCAGCCGACACGUGGCACAGGGAGGCGACAUGACCUGCCGUCGCGAGGGGAGGCGACAUGACCUACCGCCACUACAGCAGGCUGCAGCCUUGAAAUUACUGGAUACUAGGUGAGGCAGCUGCUGCAACGGAAUUGGAUGGGCCGGUGGGCCCUGCCGCCACACACCGUGGAAGUCUCCAGCAGCAGCUCGGCCGUGUCUCAUUCUGCUCUCUGUUUUACUUGGUGUUAGCAAGUUUGACUGAAAUUUAAAUUAAUUUGAUGGCCAAUUUUGAAGAUGUUGCAGUUGAAAAAAAGAUAGAUCAAUAUGAGAUCUGUCCAUUUCUAUGUUUUUCGCUUACAUGCACGUAUCGUUUUGUACUUUCCAAAUGCUCCAAAACACUCCUCAAAAUAAUUCAAAUGUCUAAUACAGCAGAGAAUACAAAGUUAAGACUAAUCAUACAAUAUGAAACCACCAUGCAUGUGAGCGAAAAACAUGAAAACGGAUACGUCUUACCUUGAUCUAUCUUUUUUUCAACUACAUCAUCUUCAAAAUCGACCUUUAAAUUGAUUCAAAUCUCAAUCAAAGGUGCCUAUUUCACACUAGCUAACAAACAGCAAGACCAAAGAGUAGAACGAGAGAGCUGGGUGAUGCUGCUGCAGACCUGCCGCCGGGGUGUUUGCGGCAAGGCCCAUCAACCACACUUUGUUCCAUUGCAGCAGCUGGCCUCGCUGGAUUUGUUGUGGCGGCAUGUCCUGCCGCCUUCUCCCGUGGCGGCAGGUGCCACGUGCCUGCUGGCGUGCCUGCCGCCACGGUCUAGCUGUUCUCUUUUAUUCAAAAAUUUCAGAGAUAGUCUUCCUUGUCAAUUCGACUCGGUAGAUGGUCUUUUUGACAAAGAUUCCUCGACGUGUGAUGAAAUAAAAGUUUUCAUUUGUUCAACUUAAUACAGUGUAAGGUCCGUUGUUCGAUCCCCUAGCUGCUUAUCCUUUUCAGAUUUAAAUAAACCAUACAGUUUUUCUCUCUGUGAGGUCACGGGUUCAAAUUCUGGAAACAGUCUCUUGCAGAAAUGUAGGGAAAUGCUGCGUACAAUAGACCCAAAGUGGUCGAACCCUUCCCCAGACCCUNNNNNNNNNNNNNNNNNNNNNNNNNNNNNNNNNNNNNNNNNNNNNNNNNNNNNNNNNNNNNNNNNNNNNNNNNNNNNNNNNNNNNNNNNNNNNNNNNNNNNNNNNNNNNNNNNNNNNNNNNNNNNNNNNNNNNNNNNNNNNNNNNNNNNNNNNNNNNNNNNNNNNNACAGCACCAGAAGGCCCUAAACUUAGAGCAGCCCAACGUUCGGAUGACACAACAACAGCGGUCCUUUUUUUCCUAAAUAAAGUCAACGCUGGGACCCGCAUCAGUAGGAUUCCAUUUUUCUUUAAAAAAAGCACUAGAAGGACGUCUGUCGCGGUUCGAACAACAAAGAAAAAAAAC
rnacentral:lncRNA from 1 species